rnacentral:rRNA from 1 species
UAAGAGGUCCCGCCUGCCCUGUGACUCUAAGUUUAACGGCCGCGGUAUUUUAACCGUGCGAAGGUAGCGCAAUCACUUGUCUUUUAAAUGAAGACCUGUAUGAAUGGCACAACGAGGGCUUAACUGUCUCCUCUCCCAAGUCAGUGAAAUUAAUCUCCCCGUGCAGAAGCGGGGAUGUUUACAUAAGACGAGAAGACCCUAUGGAGCUUUAGACACCAAGGUGAACCAUGUCAAGCCCUCCCCACCAAAGGCCCGAACCAAAUGGACAUCACCCCCUGUCUUUGGUUGGGGCGACCACGGGGAAAUAAAAAACCCCCGCGUGGAAAGGGAGUACUACUCCUACAACUGAGAGCCUCAGCUCUAGUUAAUAGAAUUUCUGACCAACAAGAUCCGGCAAAGCCGAUCAACGAACCGAGUUACCCUAGGGAUAACAGCGCAAUCCCCUUUCAGAGGCCAUAUCGACAAGGGGGUUUACGACCUCGAUGUUGGAUCAGGACAUCCUAAUGGUGCAGCCGCUAUUGAGGGUUCGUUUGUUCAACG